AGAUUGAACGCUGGCGGCAUGCCUUACACAUGCAAGUCGAACGGCAGCACGGGAGCAAUCCUGGUGGCGAGUGGCGAACGGGUGAGUAAUAUAUCGGAACGUGCCCAGUCGUGGGGGAUAACGCAGCGAAAGCUGUGCUAAUACCGCAUACGAUCUAUGGAUGAAAGCGGGGGAUCGCAAGACCUCGCGCGAUUGGAGCGGCCGAUAUCAGAUUAGCUAGUUGGUGGGGUAAAAGCCUACCAAGGCGACGAUCUGUAGCUGGUCUGAGAGGACGACCAGCCACACUGGAACUGAGACACGGUCCAGACUCCUACGGAGGCAGCAGUGGGAAUUUUGGACAAUGGGCGCAAGCCUGAUCCAGCAAUGCCGCGUGCCAGGAUGAAGGCCGUUCGGUUGUAACGUGUCUUUUGUACGGUACGAAACGUUCUCUCUAAUACAGGGCUAAGUGACGUACCGUAAG
rnacentral:rRNA from 1 species